AUACGGAGGUUGCAAGCGUUACUUGGAAUCACUGGGCGUAAAGGAUGCGUAGGCUGGAUGUCAAGUUGGAAGUGAAAUCCUAUGGCUUAACCAUAGAACUGCUUCCAAAACUGGCAACCUAGAGUGAGGGAGAGGCAGAUGGAAUUAGUGGUGUAGGGGUAAAAUCCGUAGAUAUCACUAGGAAUGCCGAUUGCGAAGGCGAUCUGCUAGAACUCUACUGACGCUAAGGCAUGAAAGCGUGGGGAGCAAACAGGAUUAGAUACCCUAGUAGUCC
rnacentral:rRNA from 1 species